rnacentral:rRNA from 1 species
GACGAACGCUGGCGGCGUGCUUAACACAUGCAAGUCGAACGGAAAGGCCCUGCUUUUGUGGGGUGCUCGAGUGGCGAACGGGUGAGUAACACGUGAGUAACCUGCCCUUGACUUUGGGAUAACUUCAGGAAACUGGGGCUAAUACCGGAUAGGAGCUCCUGCUGCAUGGUGGGGGUUGGAAAGUUUCGGCGGUUGGGGAUGGACUGGCGGCUUAUCAGCUUGUUGGUGGGGUAGUGGCUUACCAAGGCUUUGACGGGUAGCCGGCCUGAGAGGGUGGCCGGCCACAUUGGGACUGAGAGACGGCGCAGACUCCUACGGGAGGCAGCAGUGGGGAAUAUGGCACAAUGGGCGGAAGCCUGAUGCAGCAGCGCCGCGUGCGGGAUGACGGCCUUCGGGUUGUAAACCGCUUUCGCCUGUGACGAAGCGUGAGUGACGGUAAUGGGUAAAGAAGCACCGGCUAACUACGUG